rnacentral:rRNA from 1 species
CAGCCCUUGACAUCCCGGUCGCGGGAACGAGAGAUCGAUCCCUUCAGUUCGGCUGGACCGGAGACAGGUGCUGCAUGGCUGUCGUCAGCUCGUGUCGUGAGAUGUUGGGUUAAGUCCCGCAACGAGCGCAACCCUUGUCCUUAGUUGCCAGCAUUCAGUUGGGCACUCUAAGGAGACCGCCGGUGACAAACCGGAGGAAGGUGGGGAUGACGUCAAGUCAUCAUGGCCUUUAUGGCCAGGGCUACACACGUGCUACAAUGGUAGGUACAGAGGGAAGCCAACUCGCGAGAGGGAGCCAAUCCCAGAAAGCCUGUCGUAGUCCAGAUCGGAGUCUGCAACUCGACUCCGUGAAGUCGGAAUCGCUAGUAAUCGCAGAUCAGCAUUGCUGCGGUGAAUACGUUCCC